CCCCCGCAACUCCUAUCGGCAGUGAGCGGUUGGGGAAUCGGAACUUGGGCAGCGGCGAGCGGGUGGGCGUUCGGCGGCGAGAGGUAGGGAGGCUUGGUGUCCAAGCGAGCGGCGAGAGGUAGGCGUGCUCUGCGCUGACUGUGUUAGCGUCCUCGUCGGCGGGUGAAAUCAGCAGCCACGUGGUCGGUCGUCCGAAGCGGCGGCAAUGGCGGCGUGGUGUGAUUGGCUUCAACAGAACUUACAUCCACUCGAGCGGAAGGGGACGAGCGGCCGUUGGGUGGCGAUAGCUGGUGACUUCGGCGGCCUCACCCUCAGAUUCUGUGUGUACUGGCGCAUCCCCUGCAAUUGCAAGCCAAGAUUGAACACAAAUUUGCAUAGAUGAGGCUAUAUGGUCCGAUAUGUCAGAUUAGAUGAUGUCAGGGACAAAUCGAAAAUAACUUAUGCCUCCAGAUUAGACC